rnacentral:lncRNA from 10 species
CUAUGACUGGGGAUAGAUGAGACAUGAGAGAUUUGCACACUUCAUUUGGACUUAAUUUAAAUCUAGUUAGGAAGGGUGUUAAAAAAGAUCUAAGAAUAGAAUAAGGAAGAGCUAAGAUUUUGAAUUUAUAAAUUGAAGGAUAACUUUAAAACCCAAGAUGGCACUUGAUUAAUCUUUGCUGUGCAUUAAAACUACUCUCAGAGAUACAAAACCAACCAACCAAACCACUCACAGAGAUAACUAUUGGUUUAUUCUGUUUUCUUGAGUCCAUCUUAAAGGUUCUAUAUUUUUCUGGAAAAUUGUCUUUUUCAUUUAAGUUAUGAAAUUCACUGGCAUUGGAUUCAAAUCUAUUCUAUGUCAAGCAUGGAGCUCAAGCAGCCAUGAUCACGAGAUCGUGAGGCAGUAAUUCCAGUAAUGUGAUGAAGUAGCAAGAGAUAAGUAAGUCCAGGUAUCUGUUACUUUCCCUAUUUUGCAAUACUUAAUGGAUACAUACAAUCUGUCAACUCUUCUCUCUGGACCUGCGCAUACACUGCUCCAUCUGCCUGAAACAAUCUUUCCCUGGUCAACCGCCUACCCACUGCCACCUUGGAGAACAGCUACUCAUAGUCACCCUCAGAUUAUAUCGUUUUCUCACCCAUCUCAUCCUCUUCCUUGCCGUUUCACCACCUCCCUUCAACCUUGGUGGGCUUUGCCCAUCUGUCUGCUUGACAGGACACCCCUAUUGUUACCUUUGACUGGACUAUUAGAUGACAUCUCAGUUACUUACCUUUUAUGUGCUAGAAUUAAUUUCCUAGCUGGAGUUGUCCCCAUGACCUGAAGCUGAGUGCCUGCUCUACCAUGCAAGAAGCUCUAUUGCCGAGGCCUAGGCCUGUUUUGGGGGCUUCUCUAGCCAAUGUCAAUGUCCCAUUCCUAGUUGCAUUCUGAAAUAUAACAUCUGAGUUCACAGUAUUGUCUUAAGCUAUAAUCACUAGAGAGAGCUCUAUUGGUGUUGUGGAUGCCUUGCACCAUGCCUAUUACUUUGGAGAAGCACAGUAAAUAAGUGAUGGUUCCCUAGGAUGACUGCAUAGACACAGGAAUGUUUGUUUUGGCUUAAUGAUAACACUAAUGAUGUUGCCAGUUGUAAAGGAAGGAACACUGCUCUUUCUUCAUGCCACCUGUGAGUAUAUACCUCUAUCUAUCUCUCAAAAGGGAGAUAACUUGUUAAUCUGAUGAUGGAACAGAGUUCCAGACAAUUACUGGGAGGUGGGGCAAUGUGCCUUGAAGGGUGCCAUCUUUGGUUCCACCACUCCUCUCUUGUUUACAUUUUAUUCUGUAUGCAUUUCUUUCUCUUUCAUGCUGAGUCCAAGAAAUUGGAUGAUAGCAUGCUGGGUGGCCCUGAAAGUUCAUCCAUCUCUUUAUAGCUCUCUGAAAGCACAUCUGAGCUUGAUAAUCCCUAGAUUUAGGUUUGGCAGGGAGGUAAUAAGUCCUGCUAAGGUCUCAAGCAGAAUCGACUUGUUCUAAUUCACCAUUUAUUUAUUUAUUAUCAGUUUUUUUUUUUUUUUUUUUUUUUUUUUGCAGAGAUGGGGUCUUGCUGUGUUAUCCAGGCUGGCCUCAAACUCCUGGCCUUAAGUAAUUCUCCCUCCUCAGCCUCUCAAAGUACUGGGAUUAGAAGUGUGAGCCAUUGCACCGGGCCAUAACUCAGUGUUUUGUUUUGUUUUUGUUUUAGUUUUCUUUUGAGACAGAGUCUCUCUCUUGUCACCCAGGCUGGAGUGCAAAGGCGUGAUCUUGGCUCACUGCAACCUCCGACCCCCAGGUUCAAUCAAUUCUCCUCCCUCAGCCUCCCUAGUAGCUGGGAUUACAGGUGCCCGCCACCAUACCUGGCUUAUUUUUGUGUUUAUAGAGUUGGUGGCCAGGCUGGUCUUGAACUCCUGACCCCAGGUGAUCCACCCACCUUGUUCUCCCAAAGUGAUGGGAUUACAGUUGUGAGCCACUGCGCCCGGCCAACUCAGUAUUUUUAAUGGAGCUCUUUUCAAAACAUCAGGCAUUUGAGAGCAAUUAAUAAAAUGAUUUUUUAUUCUCAUAUUGCUGUUGCACCUUGCAUAUAUCUUCCUGGAAUCUUACUGUAGGAAACAAAUGUGAUGACAGGGCAGGAUUUGUCAUUCCUUGGUCUUUGAUCAUAUGACCACAGAUAGAGUUGAAUGCAACCAUGCUCUUCUUUCCAAUAAUCAUGGUGACAUAAGAACUCAUGCAGUUAUGGUUCGCAGCACUGACUGGCUGCUGCUGCUGCUUCUGAAGGAGAAGGAAUAGAGAAGGAAAGAGGGAAAGAUAUUGUGAGCUGCCAAAGGUGAGGUCCUUGUAAUUAGAAUGUGGUUCAUUACUGAAUGCCGGAUACUGGUUUGGUAGGUUACCUGCAGGAAUAUUUUUUGUGAUCCAAAGAUGGUCCAAUUUCGCCCAAGAGAGGACCAACUUAUUUUAAGUGACUCAAAGCUAGAUGACAAAUGGAGAGAUGCAAGUUAAAAGACAG